GAUCAAUGAUGACGAUGUGGAACUAUGGGUGGUUAAAGCCAUAACAUCCAAAUUAAUUGACAGUAAGAUGGACCAAAUGAACCAAGUAAUAGUUGUUACCUCAAAUUCUAGUCCCUCUCUGCAUCCCACUGGCUUACUCUACACUGAAGGCACAUGAACAUGUUGGCCUUAAUUACAUUACUAAGCUUCAUAUAGAUUCCCUCAAUUUGAAAAUUCAUUUAGCUACUAUACACGAUUUAAUGCAAAUGCUAAAUACGCAGUCAUCUCACUGAUCGCGCAAUGGCAUGCACUGAGAACUAAGCUAGGUUCUUGUUUAUACUUUUCAGCCAUCCUAGGACGAGUUUUCGUUCACUGGUUACCUCGGAUGGAGAAUCGUUUUUUC
rnacentral:lncRNA from 1 species